GUUCCAGGGUUUCUGCGUUCAGUCAAUCUACGCAGAGUGAAUCGGUCCCUAAGGAACCCCCGAAAGGGCUUUCGUCCGAUGGGUACACG
rnacentral:rRNA from 1 species